AAGUGGAGCAAUCCAUGAGUAAAGUGGCGACCGGGUGAGUAACACGUGACUACCUGCCCUCGAGUGGGGAAUAACUCCGGGAAACCGGGGCUAAUACCGCAUAACAUCGCAAGAUCAAAGCAGUAAUGCGCUUGAGGAGGGGGUCGCGGCUGAUUAGCUAGUUGGUAAGGUAACGGCUUACCAAGGCGAAGAUCGGUAUCCGGCCUGAGAGGGCGCACGGACACACUGGAACUGAAACACGGUCCAGACUCCUACGGGAGGCAGCAGUGGGGAAUUUUGCGCAAUGGGGGAAACCCUGACGCAGCAACGCCGCGUGGAGGAUGAAGCCCUUUGGG
rnacentral:rRNA from 1 species